UACAGAGGGUGCGAGCGUUUAAUCGGAAUUACUGGGCGUAAAGGGCGCGUAGGCGCCUUCUAAGUCGAACGUGAAAUCCCCGGGCUCAACCCGGGAGCUGCGUCCGAUACUGGAAGGCUUGAAUCCGGGAGAGGGAUGCGGAAUUCCAGGUGUAGCGGUGAAAUGACGUAGAGAUUUGGAGGAACACCAGUGGCGAAGGCGACUUUCUGGUCUGUAACUGACACUGAGGCGCGAAAAGCGUGGGGAGCGAACAGG
rnacentral:rRNA from 1 species